GAUGAACGCUGGCGGCGUGCCUAAUACAUGCCAGUCGAGCGAACAGACGAGGAGCUUGCUCCUCUGACGUUAGCGGCGGACGGGUGAGUAACACGUGGAUAACCUACCUAUAAGACUGGGAUAACUUCGGGAAACCGGAGCUAAUACCGGAUAAUAUAUUGAACCGCAUGGUUCUAUAGUGAAAGACGGUUUUGCUGUCACUUAUAGAUGGACCCGCGCCGCAUUAGCUAGUUGGUAAGGUAACGGCUUACCAAGGCAACGAUGCGUAGCCGACCUGAGAGGGUGAUCGGCCACACUGGAACUGAGACACGGUCCAGACUCCUACGGGAGGCAGCAGUAGGGAAUCUUCCGCAAUGGGCGAAAGCCUGACGGAGCAACGCCGCGUGAGUGAUGAAGGUCUUCGGAUCGUAAAACUCUGUUAUUAGGGAAGAACAAAUGUGUAAGUAACUAUGCACGUCUUGACGGUACCUAAUCAGAAAGCCACGGCUAACUACGUG
rnacentral:rRNA from 1 species